rnacentral:rRNA from 1 species
UACGGGGGGGGCAAGCGUUGUUCGGAAUUACUGGGCGUAAAGGGCUCGUAGGUGGCCAACUAAGUCAGACGUGAAAUCCCUCGGCUUAACCGGGGAACUGCGUCUGAUACUGGAUGGCUUGAGUUUGGGAGAGGGACGCGGAAUUCCAGGUGUAGCGGUGAAAUGCGUAGAUAUCUGGAGGAACACCGGUGGCGAAGGCGGCAUCCUGGACCGAGAUUGACGCUGAGGCGCGAAAGCUAGGGUAGCAAACGGG